UACGUAGGUGGCAAGCGUUGUUCGGAAUUAUUGGGCGUAAAGGGUGCGUAGGCGGCGCGGUAAGUCGGGUGUGAAAUCUUGGAGCUUAACUCCGAAACUGCAUUCGAUACUGCCGUGCUUGAGGACUGGAGAGGAGACUGGAAUUUACGGUGUAGCGGUGAAAUGCGUAGAUAUCGUAAGGAAGACCAGUGGCGAAGGCGGGUCUCUGGACAGUUCCUGACGCUGAAGCACGAAGGCCAGGGGAGCAAACGGG
rnacentral:rRNA from 1 species